CAGUAGCCGCGGGAAUACGAAGGGGGCUAGCGUUGCUCGGAAUGACUGGGCGUAAAGGGCGCGUAGGCGAAUCACGCAGUCAGAUGUGAAAUUCCUGGGCUUAACCUGGGGGCUGCAUUUGAGACGCGUGGUCUAGAGUGUGAGAGAGGGUCGUGGAAUUCCCAGUGUAGAGGCGAAAUUCGUAGAUAUUGGGAAGAACACCGGUGGCGAAGGCGGCGACCUGGUUCAUUACUGACGCUGAGGCGCGAAAGCGUGGGGAGCAAACAGGAUUAGAUACCCCCGUAGUCCCUGUCUCUUAUAC
rnacentral:rRNA from 1 species